ACUGAAACCUAGUGAUGUAUGGAUUAGUGGCGGACGGGUGAGUAACGCGUGGAUAACCUGCCGUAUACAGGGGGAUAACACUUAGAAAUAGGUGCUAAUACCGCAUAAGCGCACGGUUCCGCAUGGAACAGUGUGAAAAACUCCGGUGGUAUACGAUGGAUCCGCGUCUGAUUAGCCAGUUGGUGGGGUAACGGCCCACCAAAGCGACGAUCAGUAGCCGGCCUGAGAGGGUGAACGGCCACAUUGGGACUGAGACACGGCCCAAACUCCUACGGGAGGCAGCAGUGGGGAAUAUUGCACAAUGGGGGAAACCCUGAUGCAGCGACGCCGCGUGAGUGAAGAAGUAUUUCGGUACGUAAAGCUCUAUCAGCAGGGAAGAAAAAAAGUCCUUUGGACUUUGGACGGUACCUGACCAAGAAGCCCCGGCUAACUACGUGCCAGCAGCCGCGGUAAUACGUAGGGGGCAAGCGUUAUCCGGAUUUACUGGGUGUAAAGGGAGCGUAGACGGCAGCGCAAGUCUGGAGUGAAAUGCCGGGGCCCAACCCCGGAACUGCUUUGGAAACUGUGCAGCUCGAGUGCAGGAGAGGUAAGCGGAAUUCCUAGUGUAGCGGUGAAAUGCGUAGAUAUUAGGAGGAACACCAGUGGCGAAGGCGGCUUGCUGGACUGUAACUGACGUUGAGGCUCGAAAGCGUGGGGAGCAAACAGGAUUAGAUACCCUGGCAGUCCACGCCGUAAACGAUGAUUACUAGGUGUCGGGGGGCCAAGGCCCUC
rnacentral:rRNA from 1 species